GGUUCUGUAGUCUAGUGGUUAUGACGUUCCCUUUACACGGGAAAGGUCUUGGGUUCAAUCCCCGACAGAACCU
rnacentral:tRNA from 1 species